rnacentral:rRNA from 1 species
UACGUAGGGUGCGAGCGUUAAUCGGAAUUACUGGGCGUAAAGGGCGCGUAGGCGGCCACCGCAAGUCAGUUGUGAAAUCUCUGGGCUUAACCCAGAAAGGUCAACUGAUACUGCGGGGCUAGAGUGCAGAAGGGGCAACUGGAAUUCUCGGUGUAGCGGGUGAAAUGCGUAGAUAUCGAGAGGAACACCUGCGGCGAAGGCGGGUUGCUGGGCUGACACUGACGCUGAAGCGCGAAAGCUAGGGGAGCGAACGGG